AUUAACCUAAAUUAACACCCACCAGCCCACAGAGACAGCAAGCAGAACAAAACCAGGAAGCUUUCCUGUUUAGAUUUUAGAGCUUAUACUACCAUGUGAUGUAAAUUUCUAUCACUUGAUCCCUCUGGAAGGGUUGAGCUUUUAUGUUUUAGAAUCAUUGUCAAGAUUACCCUCAUAAUCCAGAAAGAAGAAAUGCGUUUGCUUGAUUGUGCUUAUUUUCCAUAAGUAAUAGACAAUCACACAAAUAGAUAAAUGUUUCUCACAUUUUUUAAAUUUCUGCAAGAAAGAAAACUCCAAUCUCAUCUUGAAAUUCUUAUAUCUUCCUCCAGUUGGGUUUUUCAGUGGGCAGAAUUGACAACCGAAGAACGCUUGCAAAGAACUGUUACUCUACUUAUCCAACUUGAAAGACAUGUUAGGACUCACCUAAGACAGCAGAAUCAUGAAAGUGACAUAUCAGUGGAGAUGUGAUUAUCGACCUGUGAGCCCCUCAUCUAGAGUGAGAGGGAGCAUGGCAUGUGGUCCAUCUUCCUUGGGGUGCUCCAGAAUGGGCUGACAAAGGGCCGGAGAGCUGACAUAGCCCUGAGGUGAGACAGCGCAGCUGUGUUGCUGAAAGUGCGAGUAGACAGGAUUUUAGAAAAAUGCAUGGGGAAGAAAAUUGGGGUUUGUGUUUUUGAUCAACAGCUGAAAAGUUUGCAAGAGGGAGAAAGGAGAAUGUGACGUCUGCUGAGGGAAGGGAAAACUUAGAGAAAAUAAAAGAAUGGAAAGGGGACACUUAGGAGAAUUUGCUGAGUAGUGGGUGAUAGAUGUGAAUAUGAUCAAAAUAUUCGGAGGCUGCUGGAACAGACUGCUGCCAUGAUUGUGUGCAGGCUGCCCC
rnacentral:lncRNA from 1 species